rnacentral:rRNA from 1 species
AUGAACGCUGGCGGCGUGCUUAACACAUGCAAGUCGAACGAAGCGCUUAAAUGGAUUUCUUCGGAUUGAAGUUUUUGUGACUGAGUGGCGGACGGGUGAGUAACGCGUGGGUAACCUGCCUCAUACAGGGGGAUAACAGUUAGAAAUGACUGCUAAUACCGCAUAAGCGCACAGUGCUGCAUGGCACAGUGUGAAAAACUCCGGUGGUAUGAGAUGGACCCGCGUCUGAUUAGCUAGUUGGUGGGGUAACGGCCUACCAAGGCGACGAUCAGUAGCCGGCCUGAGAGGGUGAACGGCCACAUUGGGACUGAGACACGGCCCAAACUCCUACGGGAGGCAGCAGUGGGGAAUAUUGCACAAUGGGGGAAACCCUGAUGCAGCGACGCCGCGUGAGCGAAGAAGUAUUUCGGUAUGUAAAGCUCUAUCAGCAGGGAAGAAAAUGACGGUACCUGACUAAGAAGCACCGGCUAAAUACGUGCCAGCAGCCGCGGUAAUACGUAUGGUGCAAGCGUUAUCCGGAUUUACUGGGUGUAAAGGGAGCGUAGACGGUUGUGUAAGUCUGAUGUGAAAGCCCGGGGCUCAACCCCGGGACUGCAUUGGAAACUAUGUAACUAGAGUGUCGGAGAGGUAAGCGGAAUUCCUAGUGUAGCGGUGAAAUGCGUAGAUAUUAGGAGGAACACCAGUGGCGAAGGCGGCUUACUGGACGAUCACUGACGUUGAGGCUCGAAAGCGUGGGGAGCAAACAGG